CCUGGCUCAGAACGAACGCUGGCGGCGUGCUUAACACAUGCAAGUCGAACGCGAAAGGGACUUCGGUCCUGAGUAAAGUGGCGCACGGGUGAGUAACGCGUAGAUAACCUGUCUUUAUGUCUGGAAUAAUACGCCGAAAGGGGUACUAAUACCGGAUAUUUUUGCAUUGCAUAAGCAGUGUAAGCAAAGGUGGCCUCUGACAUAAGCUACUGCAUAAAGAGGGGUCUGCGUACCAUUAGCUAGUAGGUGGGGUAAAGGCCUACCUAGGCUACGAUGGUUAGCGGGUCUGAGAGGAUGAUCCGCCACACUGGCACUGGAACACGGGCCAGACUCCUACGGGAGGCAGCAGUGAGGAAUAUUGCGCAAUGGGGGCAACCCUGACGCAGCGACGCCGCGUGAGUGAAGGAAGGCCUUCGGGUCGUAAAGCUCUGUCAAAGGGAAAGAAGUGCAUGGUGAUUAAUACCUGCCAUGUUUGACGGUACCCUUAAAGGAAGCACCGGCUAACUCCGUGCCAGCCGCUGC
rnacentral:rRNA from 1 species